GGUGACCUUUCUUCACUGAACAUCUCCUAUCUAUUCAGGCGUCACCAAUGUGACCGCGUCCUGACAUGGAACUCGGGAGCACUGCAUUACAGUGACGACGUAAUCAUCGUGCGAGAGCUGAGCGACUUGAGCACCGAUCGUCAGGCCUUGAAGAACGACAUCGAUACCAUCAAAUACAUCGGCAAAGGCACCUACACUGACUGCGCCAUCAAGAGGGGCCUGGCCGAAUUGCUCGUUGGGGGCUCACACUAUCAUGAGAACAAGUACAUCGUGGUGGUGACUGACGGUCACCCUAUCACUGGAUA